GACGAACGCUGGCGGCGUGCUUAACACAUGCAAGUCGAACGGAAAGGCCCUGCUUUUGUGGGGUGCUCGAGUGGCGAACGGGUGAGUAACACGUGAGUAACCUGCCCUUGACUUUGGGAUAACUUCAGGAAACUGGGGCUAAUACAGGAUAGGAGCUCCUGCUGCAUGGUGGGGGUUGGAAAGUUUCGGCGGUUGGGGAUGGACUCGCGGCUUAUCAGCUUGUUGGUGGGGUAGUGGCUUACCAAGGCUUUGACGGGUAGCCGGCCUGAGAGGGUGACCGGCCACAUUGGGACUGAGAUACGGCCCAGACUCCUACGGGAGGCAGCAGUGGGGAAUAGUGCACAAUGGGCGGAAGCCUGAUGCAGCAACGCCGCGUGCGGGAUGACGGCCUUCGGGUUGUAAACCGCUUUCGCCUGUGACGAAGCGUGAGUGACGGUAAUGGGUAAAGAAGCACCGGCUAACUACGUG
rnacentral:rRNA from 1 species